rnacentral:rRNA from 1 species
AGUCGACGAACACUUUUACAGAUUUCUUCGGAAUGAAGUUUUAGCGACUGAGUGGCGGACGGGUGAGUAACGCGUGGGUAACCUGCCUCACACAGGGGGAUAACAGUUGGAAACGGCUGCUAAUACCGCAUAAGCGCACAGUACCGCAUGGUACGGUGUGAAAAACUCCGGUGGUGUGAGAUGGACCCGCGUCUGAUUAGCUAGUUGGCAGGGCAACGGCCUACCAAGGCGACGAUCAGUAGCCGACCUGAGAGGGUGACCGGCCACAUUGGGACUGAGACACGGCCCAAACUCCUACGGGAGGCAGCAGUGGGGAAUAUUGCACAAUGGGGGAAACCCUGAUGCAGCGACGCCGCGUGAGCGAAGAAGUAUUUCGGUAUGUAAAGCUCUAUCAGCAGGGAAGAAGAAAUGACGGUACCUGACUAAGAAGCACCGGCUAAAUACGUGCCAGCAGCCGCGGUAAUACGUAUGGUGCAAGCGUUAUCCGGAUUUACUGGGUGUAAAGGGAGCGCAGGCGGAAGGCUAAGUCUGAUGUGAAAGCCCGGGGCUCAACCCCGGUACUGCAUUGGAAACUGGUCAUCUAGAGUGUCGGAGGGGUAAGUGGAAUUCCUAGUGUAGCGGUGAAAUGCGUAGAUAUUAGGAGGAACACCAGUGGCGAAGGCGGCUUACUGGACGAUAACUGACGCUGAGGCUCGAAAGCGUGGGGAGCAAACAGGAUUAGAUACCCUGGUAGUCCACGCCGUANACGAUGAAUACNAGGUGUCGGAAAGCACAGCUUUUCGGUGC